rnacentral:rRNA from 1 species
AACGCUAGCUACAGGCUUAACACAUGCAAGUCGCGGGGUAACGAGAGGGAAGCUUGCUUUCCUUGUCGACGACCGGCGCACGGGUGAGUAACGCGUAUCCAACCUGCCCAUUACCACGGGAUACCCCGUCGAAAGGCGGCCUAAUACCGUAUGCAGUCGUCAGAUGACAUCAGAGGACGACGAAAGGAUUGGCGGUAAUGGAUGGGGAUGCGUCUGAUUAGGUAGUUGGAGGGGUAACGGCCCACCAAGCCAUCGAUCAGUAGGGGUUCUGAGAGGAAGGUCCCCCACAUUGGAACUGAGACACGGUCCAAACUCCUACGGGAGGCAGCAGUGAGGAAUAUUGGUCAAUGGGCGCGAGCCUGAACCAGCCAAGUAGCGUGAGGGAUGACGGCCCUAUGGGUUGUAAACCUCUUUUAUGCGGGAAUAAAAUGUUUGACGUGUCAUACAUUGUAGGUACCGCAAGAAUAAGGACCGGCUAAUUCCGUGCCAGCAGCCGCGGUAAUACGGAAGGUCCAGGCGUUAUCCGGAUUUAUUGGGUUUAAAGGGAGCGUAGGCCGCAAGUCAGGCGUGUUGUGAAAUGCAGGGGCUCAACCUCUGGAUUGCAGCGCGAACUGGCAUGCUUGAGUACGCACGAGGUAGGCGGAAUUUGUGGUGUAGCGGUGAAAUGCUUAGAUAUCACGAAGAACUCCGAUUG